UUUUUGUUUAUUUGUUGGAGAAUCACAUUGAAAAUUGAAAAUAAAAAUCAUAAAACAUGAAAUAUGAAAAAAAAAAAAAAAAAAAAAAAAAAAAAAAAAAAC
rnacentral:rRNA from 1 species